AGUCCUGCACACUCAACAAAAGUGGAGAGACUUGGCAGGACCGGCAGCAUGCUGGGAAAAGGAGGCAGUGGUUCCGGGCCCAGAAGUGGCGGGAUUUUUUGUUUCGGUCCUGCAACCAAUUUUCCAUUCAGCAUGACACGGAAGGAAUAUGGAAGAGGGGAAAUUCAACGGAAGGGGUUGCACUUGGUUUGGAAAAGCCAGGGAAGGACGCAAGCUAAGCAGCUUUGCCUUGGGAGCUGGGUCCAUUCAUACCUGAAAUAGGCCCUUGGGAACCCUUAACUGGACAGUGGCCCAGACUUUCUCAUGCACUCUGCAGCUCACCAGCUGGGGUGUUUGUUAACUCACUGUCUCUCUCUAAGUCUCAAUUUUCUGGACUGGAAAAUGGAGUCAGAACCAGCAGCCCUCCCUCCCGGGGUUGCUCUAAGAAUUAGACAGUAAGUAGCUGGCAGACUGCAGGCCAGAGAUAGAAUGGAAGGAUUCUCAGCUUGUGCUUCUACCUGGAAGAACAGAGGAGUAUACUGGAUGGUCAGGAAUGCAGCUGGAACCGGAGACAUCUCCUCCGACCAACCCAACUUGCCUCAUAAGACCUGCGGACAGCGUGGACCUUAGACUAUAGGGUGAAGAUCUGUAUGCCCACAGCCCUCUCGGUUCCCUCGUUUCAGUUAGAAUGCAUGGAGCUCUCCCGUGAGUGCCGGUUGCCUCUUCUCCUGUUCCAGGUUGACAAGGCCCACAGAGGCCAACAUGAGCCCUGGAAUGCUCUCCAAACGGAGGGUGGGUGGAGGUGGGGGGAGUUCUCCUUCACAGUUGGCUUUUCGUCCUAAUUGCCUUCGGCGUCUCCCACUUCCAGUAACCUCCGCGGUGAGUUACCUGCUGAUGGGAGCCACUGGCAGCUCACAUGCGGGUUAUUGAAACAACCUCCCACCUGGCCUCCCCGGCCAAGAACCUGCUGCCCUGCUGUCUGUUUUCAGCACAGUCGAGAACAUCUUCACCUAAAUAUAAGUCAAUUCAUGUCACACCUCUAUCCAAAACCCUCUCAUGACUUUCCAAGACAGGACAAAAGCCAGAGUUUUUACAGUGACCUCUCUGUUCCCACGUUCUGCCCCCUGCCACCUCUUAUCUCAUCCUGUCACACCCCUUGCUCACUGCCUUCCGGCCACAUGGGCCUCCUUGUUGCUCCUCAGUAUGCCAGUAUGUUCCUACUCGGAGCUUUGGAAUUUUGUUCCCUGGGCCUGGCAACUUUACCCCAGGUAUCUACAAGGUUCUUUACUUCUUCAAAUCAAAUGCCACCUUGACCACCCUAUGUAAAGGAACUUUAUUUAGUUCUAUCUUCUAUCCCCAGUGCCUAGAAUGAUGCCUAGUGCUCAACAAAUGUUACAAAUAUCACAUUAUUACAACUUGUCUACAUAGGGCCUUCCCUUUCAUAAGACAUCUACAAGAGAGAAUAGUGGAAGGAAGGAACUCAGUGAGUAUGGCCUCCAAGAGCUCCAGCGCUAUGAUCUUGGGAACGAUGGCAAUGGCAGUGAUGAUGGUGGCAAUGGUGGGGGUGAUUCGAUGGUAAGAUGGUGGUGAUGGGAUGGUGAAAAUGGUGGCAGUGAUGACAUCUAUGACAAUGAGCAGGAUGAUUGCUGCCACUGCUGGGCUGCAAGGGAGCUUCAGUGACACACGCCCUGUGGUCUUUGGUAUUUACUGAUCGCUUGCUGAAUGCCAGGCACCGUGCCAGGAGCUUUACCUUCAUUACCUCCUCUCACUUCAGUGAGUCUCUGGUGUAGGCACCACAGCAGCACAUAUCCAGUGCCCAUGACACUGGACCACUUGCCCAAGGGGACACUACUUAAGAAUUGCAGAACAGGCUAGAAUCUAGGCAAUUGAGCCUAAAACUCACUCUCUGAGCUGGCAUACAAAUGUACAGACAGAGGAGGACAGAGGGCCUGGAGGGUAAGUAACCGACCCAGAUAAACCCCACGUACUUCAGAAGCAGUGGGAACGUCCAGUUGGGAAGGGAGGGCAGGAGCCACAUCCCAGCCUUCCUCAAUCAAUUCACCUUUGCAAGGGCUCCUCUUACUAUGCUCUGGGUGGAAGUAUUUCAUUCCUUAGGGGUGCUGUAGGCAGGAAAAGAAAUUAUAAGAGCCUCUGCCCUAGCGAAACAUUUUUUAAAAAUCCCUCCAAAUCUGGCGCCUUUUCUUUCCUCUCUCUAGCCUGGUUGCUCUCCCUAAUCCCUUCCUCCUCCAUGUUUAGCCAGACCCAGCUUCCUUGCAGUUGCCCUAAUUUACCCUCCCCUGAGGAACUCGGCUUCCUUGAUCUUUUUCCUGCCUUUCCUCCCAACCUGGAUAAGGUACCCAUCCUCGCUGCACCUCCAGCUCCUAGGCCGUAGAACUCACCAUUCUAAUAGACUAGUUGUUUACUGUUCUCCACAAUAGAAGUUUCAGGGCAAAAGACUGAUCUGUUCCCUUUUUAUCUCCAGUGCAAGGUAGUUUGCCUGGAUAGCAGGAGGCACUCAGUAUUUGAUGGAUGGAUGGAUGGACAGACGAACAGAUGGGCAGAAGGACAAAUAGAUGGAUGGUGUAUUCAUUUUCUCAAGCUUCUAUAACAAAAUACCACCAAAUGAGCACUGAGCUGGAACAACGGAUAUUUAUUUUCUCACAUUUCUGGAGGCCAAAAGUCCAAAAUCGAGGGGUCAGCAGGUUUAAUUUCUUUCGAGGCCUCUUUCUCUGGCUUGUAAAUGAAUAGUCACCUUUCCGUGUCUUCACGUGAUCUCAUGUCUCCCUAGGUGUCCAAAUUUCCUCUUCUUAAAAGGACACCAGUCAGGUUGCAUCGGGAUUCACCCUACAGCCUCCUUUAAACUUAAUCACCUCUUUAAAGACUGUGUUUCCAAAUGCAGUCACAUUAUGAGGUACUAGAGGACUUCGAUGUGAAUUUGGGGGUGGGGAAAGAAUGGAUAUGACAGUACAUGACUUAGAAUGCUAUGCCAAUUCUCUGUACCACUCUGUCAGGAUACCUAAGAGGAUGUUGAGAAAGGCUCAAAAGAUUUGAGAGUUUAGUUCAGGAGGUAUCUGGUGAAAAAUGCAACAUUUUAUGAGAGGCUCAGAUAACAGUAUAAAUACAUUUUGCUAAUGUAAUGAAAAAAAUCAGAAGGGGUGUAUGGAGAUGAUCCGAUCCUAAGUUAAUGAGAUGGAGAGGUAACUGGAGGGCUAUACUUCCCAGACAAGAUUCUCAUCUUGGCCCUGCCUUGCUGGUUAUCUGCCUUAUCUCCUCAUUAGAAUCAAACCACAAUACCAGGAGUGGGAGUAGGGUGGGGUUGGAGGAGCAGGCCUCCCUUUGGCCUACCACUCCCUGCCCUACAGCUACCUGCAAGCCUUUGUUCUUUGUUCCAGGUGUUCUUCCCAGCCUCCGACAUCAAAGUCCCAACUGCCUCCUAUUAUAAUAAAGUCUAGUCCUGGAUGACCUCUCCAUCCCCCACCUAGUCCCUCCACCUCAAAGUUCUUUAGAAUGAGGAAGAGUGGUAAGCAUACAGACUGGGUUUGAUCCUAUCUGGAAGACUUACUAUGUAUGUGGCUCUGGUUAAGUUAUCUAACUUCUGUAGAAGUAGCAUGAACAUUUCACAGGAUUCAUGGGAAAUAAUAAACAUCCAAAGGCCAUCAGAGCUAGAAGUUGCAUAGUUAACUUUACUGUGUGCCAACUAAGUCAGUCCAGUCCUUUUGUAAUUUAGAACCUAUGUGGGUAUUUGCAGCCAUAGAAAAAGCAAAGAUAGGCUCUAUAAAUUGGGAAUUAUGGUACCCACGUCCUGGGGUUCUAGUGAGGCUUCAGUGAAAGAUACAGUCAAGCACCCAGAGUGUUCUGUUUCAGGAGAAUGGAGAUUAUUGCAUAAUUAGCUUAAUAUCGUAUCUCUCCCAGGCCUCAGGCCUUUAGUUGGCAACACCUUGUCUGCUUAUCCACUGUGCUACCUUGCUGCACAUUGUUAUCUGGGUAUAUCAUUGACACUAGGAAAAUAUUUCUUUCAUUCAAUUCAAGCUCUGAACAAAUUCAAGCAUGUGACCUACACAGGGGAUCUCAGGAGUGAACAAAGUGGUCCAAAGUCCUGUCUUCAUUGAGCUCUGAGAUUAGCAGAGCCCAGACAAUAGCCAUUAGUCAAAAGCAUUAUGCUAAGUAGUAUCAGGGGCUGGGGGAGGUGAGGGGACAUGGCGGGGAGGACCUGAAGGGUAUGGGAUUGAGAUGCAGGUCAAGGAGACCUCACUGAGGUGACACAUGAGUAAAGACCUGAAGAAGGGAGGGAGCAGAAGAGCCUCUUGGCAGAGAAAAGAGCAAAAGCAAAGUCCCUUCCCGAGAAGGGAAAGGAGGUGCACAGUGGAUGUCAGUGAGCAAUUCAUCUAGCAAGUACUCUGUGGAGCCCCUUCUAUUUAUUGAAUAAAAGAUUAAAUGAACCCAAUGCCUGGCACCUAGCUCUCAGCACAUGUGGCUGUUACUAUUGUCAUUGUCAUUGUCAAUUAUCCUCACUGUGUCUCUCAUAGCACCAGGCCAAUACUCAGCACAAGACCUGGAGCCUAGUAAGAUCCAGUAACUAGUAACUACUAGAAGAACUGGGGCUUGCUGUCCUGCACAGGUCAUUGUCCCUAACCAUUAAUACCUGGUUGUCCUUGAAGUUCACCUGCAUCAGAGACUUGUUUCCUUAGGUUGGCCUUUGCUCUGGAAAUCCGUAGGUCUUAAGGUGACACCACAAUUGUGCGUAGAUGCACCAUUAUAUCCCUUUGAUAGGAUUCCUCAAUCUUCAAAAAGAUAGGGAGUCCAGGAGUUUGGACUGUAACUUCUGAUCUGUUCCUGGGGCCCCUUCAUUUACCGGCCAUGUCUAGCAGGGGCAGGGAAAGUGCCUGGGUUCUGGGCCCAGGGUGCUCAUCAGCUUUGGAAUAUCACCUGGGACAUGGCGACCAGGAUUAGGUGCCUGCUGUUUGAAACUCAGAUGAGAUGAGCCUCUGAAAGGUGUCUGCCUAGGAGUGGGGACAGGGGACAAAUGAGCUAAAGCUCUCCAGGAGGCUUCCAACCCAGCAAGCAUGUCUGGGGAGUUCAGGAGACUCAUCCAGUGUGUAGGAGACAAUGAGAGCCACUCAUGAACCGCCCCUGAGCCUCUGCCAGCCAGGAGACUUCAGGUCUCCUAGAAAGGGGACUCUUUAGCGACACAGGAUAAUUCUGUGGCUUUCUCAAGCGAAGAAGCCGAUAUUACCUUUCUUGUUUGAAUAAGCCCAGGUCCCCUUGUUCUUUCUUCAAGCAAGAAAAACACCAUCUUUCUAUUGGUUAUUUUCUCUGAUGUCCAGUGAAGGACAAGCAGGCGAGCACUCUGUUGAUAGGAGGCUUUUAUUCAAGCCCCACCAUCAUCCAGGGACUUCCAAAACCCCUAUCCUACAACCUGGGCUUUUGGGGUGUGACCCAUGUGCCACACAGAGCACUUUCCAUUCACCAACCCAGUGGUAACUCUCAUUCCCAAACACACCCUCUCGGGUUGGGCCUGCUGGGGUCUUCCCCUCUGUUCCUCUGAAACGGUGCCAACCCCUGUCUGCCAGGAUCGAUGCACUCUUGCCUCCUCUCCACCCAACCGAAAGGGGCUCUUUGAGGAAGAGAGCACUGGCUUUUGAGUUAGAAAGAUGUUCUCGGGGGAAAAGAAAGACUGAGGCCCAGAGUGUCUGAGCUCUCCAUGCAACGUCACACAUCUAGACCCGUCAAGAGUCAGACCACACGUGUCUGAUUCUGCGUCCCCUCUCCCUUCGCCAAGCCACACUGCCUCCUGGGUGGGUGGCCUCCAAGGAAUACUGAUGAGCACCUAAUCAUAAAAUAAAUAUUUGCCAUCAAUUUAUAACAUAAGGCAGCAUGAAAAUCAAUUUUAAAUGAUUACCCUGUAGAGGCCAGUUUCAAAGGACUUGUCAAACAGAGGAGAUAUCAAUAAAUAUUUGUCAAAUCCCAGAAUGUGACAUGAAGGGAAAGCAGUCGGAUCCUCCAGGAAGGAAUGCUAUUUCCCGCCCCCCAGGAGGGAGAAUCUUUGCUCUGUAAACAAACUUGCUGGAGGAAUUCUCUUUGAUGAAGAGAGCUGUGGCUGCGUCCUUUUCACAACUGCUGCCUUGGUUCGUGGGUUAAGCAGCCCAGGGGCUGGGAUGAUGUUUGUGGCCCAGCUGAGGUGCACCAUGGUGGAGCCGGACUUGACCUUUGCCAAGCAACCAGGCUCUGAAGGAAGGCCUGUGUGAAUGUGGAGCUCCUCACCGUUUCUCUAAGGCAGAAAUGUCCCUCUUUGAAAAGGUGCAGCCCCUUUGAAGCUCUCUGGGAGUCAAGGACAACUCGAUUCCCUGUUUCUCAUCUGGGCCUGUAUUGGCAUGUUUUCUUAUAUCUUGUGUGUGUUCAUCACGAAGGCAGCAAGGAGGCAGGGCUGGCGUGAGCCAAAGGCUCACUGGAGAAGAAGAGGGGAGAAUUCACGCAGAUGACAGGUGCUGGUUUCCCAUUGACUCAUCACAAACCUGUUAGGUAAAUAUCAUUAAGUUUGUUUAAAACCAAAAAAAAAAAAAAAGAGAGAGAGAGAGAGGAAAAAAUUUUUAAAAGAGGAAAUGGAAGAGAA